rnacentral:rRNA from 1 species
GACGAACGCUGGCGGCGUGCUUAACACAUGCAAGUCGAACGGAAAGGCCCUGCUUUUGUGGGGUGCUCGAGUGGCGAACGGGUGAGUAACACGCGAGUAACCUGCCCUUGACUUUGGGAUAACUUCAGGAAACUGGGGCUAAUACCGGAUAGGAGCUCCUGCUGCAUGGUGGGGGUUGGAAAGUUUCGGCGGUUGGGGAUGGACUCGCGGCUUAUCAGCUUGUUGGUGGGGUAGUGGCUUACCAAGGCUUUGACGGGUAGCCGGCCUGAGAGGGUGACCGGCGACAUUGGGACUAAGGUACGGCCCAGACUCCUACGGGAGGCAGCAGGGGGGAGUAUGGCACAAUAGGCGGGAGCCUGAUGCAGCGACGCCGCGUGCGGGAUGACGGCCUUCGGGUUGUAAACCGCUUUCGCCUGUGACGAAGCGUGAGUGACGGUAAUGGGUAAAGAAGCACCGGCUAACUACGUG